rnacentral:rRNA from 1 species
CAGCAGCCGCGGGAAAACGGUGGGUGCAAGCGUUAAUCGGAAUUACUGGGCGUAAAGCGCACGCAGGCGGUUUGUUAAGUCAGAUGUGAAAUCCCCGAGCUUAACUUGGGAACUGCAUUUGAAACUGGCAAGCUAGAGUCUUGUAGAGGGGGGUAGAAUUCCAGGUGUAGCGGUGAAAUGCGUAGAGAUCUGGAGGAAUACCGGUGGCGAAGGCGGCCCCCUGGACAAAGACUGACGCUCAGGUGCGAAAGCGUGGGGAGCAAACAGGAUUAGAUACCCCAGUAGUCCCUGUCUCUUAUAC